rnacentral:rRNA from 1 species
AUGCUCGCUCGACCACUGACCACUCUGUUAUGCAAGAACACACCUUUCCAGUGGACAGCAGCCACCCAGGCUGCUUUUGAGGCCCUCAAAUCUGCCCUAGUGACAGCUCCCACUCUGGCUCUACCUGAUUUCACUAAGCCCUUCGUAAUUGAGACGGAUGCUUGCGAAUACGGAGUCGGCGCUGUGAUUCAACAGGAAAGCCAUCCCAUUGCAUACCUCAGCAAAGCAUUGGGUCCCCGCACAAAAGGGUUGUCCACUUACGAAAAAUAAUACCUAGCAAUUGUCCUAGCUGUUGAGCAAUGGCGGCCGUACCUACAGUUUGGUGAGUUUGUGAUCAAAACUGACCAGCGCAGCCAAGUGCAUUUGGAAGAGCAGCGGCUCCACACUCCUUGGCAACAGAAAGCGUUCACUAAACUCUUGGGACUUCAGUACCUUCUCUAA